GAAAUGGCCACUACGACCUACCCCCUUGGUCUAUCAGUAUUCUUCCUGACUGCAAAACUGAGGUUUUCAACACUGCAAAGGUAACACAAGACUUCAAAUAUGAUUUUGAAUGAACUCGAUUUUAUAAAAUUGAUUUUGUUAAAAUUAAGUUUGAAGUGAAGUUAUUUAUUAUGUAUAGAUUUUUUUACACUAAAACGAUCUAACACGAAAGCUUCUUCACCAUUUCUACUUAAAUAGAAGUUUAGAGGCAAAAAUAAACUUUACCUGAUACUAACCAAACAACUGUAUUUUCCUGAAAUCACAUUUAACAAAGUCAAAGUCAAUUAUGAUAGUUUCGACAGUGAAACCAAACACAUUCAUUUCUUCAAAAAACUGGAAAAUUCUACUCUAACUGUUCUAGAAGGACAGACAAAGAUUAUAUAUUCUUUUAUCAUAAACUGUUUACAUUUACCAUGUCAUGUUUUUUUUUAAGUGCGAACAUUUGCAAUCAUUUUCCAAUUUUAUCCAGGUUC
rnacentral:lncRNA from 1 species